rnacentral:lncRNA from 1 species
UUAUUACAGAUAAAUGCCAUGUUAAGACAUAUAAUCAACUUUGCUUUAAACAACCUUAUAAAACUAACUGGUGAUAGUCUAUGUUCUGACAUUUCAAGAAAUAUGCAUUAUUGACUCUAUGAUAACUACGGGUAACCCUGCCUUUCCAUUUUUUAAGUGAAAAACAUAUCUUAUUAAUAAAUCUUGUCUUCAACACAAAUUGUUUACUUAUCAGAAAAUAUACUCUUCAACAGAAAAUGUUAACCUAUGAGAAAAUCUAGUCUUCAGCAGCAUGAACAGAAAAUGUUAAUUUUAUUCAUCAUCAUGAUUUGGUGGUUUCCAAUCAGAAUUAACUUACACUGUAUACAACUGUCAACAAUGUCUAUGGUUUGGGUGUUUUACGUUUCAUUCUUGGAACAGAAUAAGAAAUAAGCAUUUCCUUCAACAAAGCAUAAAACUCAAAGGUUCCUUCAUGCAGUUGUCAUUUUGUUUUACCAAAUUCAAAAUGACUCCAACUUGGUUUUUUUUCAUAAAGAUUACUUUUUUUUAUUGAUACAUAAAUACAUUUCCCUGUGUGCAUGUUGAUUAGGAAUUUAAUAUUGGUUUACAGUUUUUAAUCUCAUAGAUUUUUUUUUAGAAAUAUCUAUAUAAAUGCUGCAAACCAACUUAAUUUCAGUUUUAGUUCUUUCUAGCCAACUUCUCAGCUAUCUAUUUUCAAAAUUUUCUUGGUGUUUCUAUACAAAGAAGGAUCCAUUUUUCUGAUCUUUGCAAUGAUUUACAUGCCUUAUUUGUGCUAUAUGUACUCUUGAAAGUAAAAAAAAAAUAAUCACCGCAUAAAUGAGUUGGUUUACUGUUAAAAAAAAAUAAGCUCUUGGCAUAGUUAAUUUUGAAUUUGAACAUCAUUUUUAUACAAGUGAUUGUUAUUUUGCAAACCUCCAAACUUAACUAGAUUAAAUAAGCACAUUUUCUUUGAUUUAGUUCAUUGCUGUCAUAUUUGCAUAACUACAUGCCAUAGCCUUAAAAUUUACACCCAUACAUAGGGCAAGACUGCUGAUUUUUUUUAUUCAUGGGAUACCUAUUUUUGUGGAUUGUCAAAGGGUAAGGAAAAUGAAGGUUUUUUUAAAUGUCUAUAUUUUCUCUAGGCUUGAAAGCAGACUUUGGCAAAACCACAAAAUCAAGUAUCAACGAAAAUUUGGUACCAACGAAUAUAUAUGAAUG